UUAUUCGGUAGGUAAGGCUACCACAGGGAUACGGAUUACUGCCGCGAAAUGGUGGAGACACUAUGAGAUGGUCAGCAGGUCACAUCGAAAAACAAGGUGUGAUUUAAUGUAAUUUCAUCGCCCUGCGAAGCUAAAGCUUGAACGAAAU
rnacentral:sRNA from 1 species